rnacentral:rRNA from 1 species
AGUGAACGCUGGCGGCGUGCCUAAUACAUGCAAGUCGAACGGAGUGGCCCACGGGUGAGUAAUGUAUAGCUAAUCUGCCCUACACUAGAGGACAACAGUUGGAAACGACUGCUACUACUCUAUAGUGUCGGAUGGGGCGAUAUUGUAUAAGCUAGCUGGUGAGGUAAUGUCUCACCAAGGCUAUGACGCAUAACUUGUCUGAGAGGAUGAUCAGUCACACUGGAACGGAGACACGGUCCAGACUUAUACGGGAGUGAGCAGUAGGGAAAUUUGCUCAAUGGGGGAGGACCUGAAGCAGCAACGCCGCGUGGAGGAUGACACUUUUCGGAGCGUAAGCUCCUUUUGUUAGGGAAGCGGUACCUAACGAAUAAGCACCGGCUAACUCCGUGCCAGCAGCCGCGGUAAUAC